rnacentral:tRNA from 1 species
GCCAUCGUGGCGUAGUGGUCAGCACGCUGGGCGCGUAUUCCAGAUGUCCGUGGUUCGAGUCCAGGCGAAGACA